UGAGGAAUAUUGCGCAAUGGGGGAAACCCUGACGCAGCGACGCCGCGUGGAUGAUGAAGGCCUUCGGGUCGUAAAAUCCUGUCAGAUGGGAAGAAAUGUUGGUUAGUUAAUACCUAUCCUUCUUGACGGUACCAUCAAAGGAAGCACCGGCUAACUCCGUGCCAGCAGCCGCGGUAAUACGGAGGGUGCAAGCGUUGUUCGGAAUUACUGGGCGUAAAGCGCGCGUAGGCGGCUUUUUAAGUCAGAUGUGAAAGUCCACGGCUCAACCGUGGAAGUGCAUUUGAAACUGGGGAGCUUGAGUACUGGAGGGGGUGGUGGAAUUCCCGGUGUAGAGGUGAAAUUCGUAGAUAUCGGGAGGAAUACCGGUGGCGAAGGCGACCACCUGGCCAGAUACUGACGCUGAGGUGCGAAAGCGUGGGGAGCAAACAGGAUUAGAUACCCCCGUAGUCC
rnacentral:rRNA from 1 species